rnacentral:tRNA from 1 species
GCGGACGUAGUUCAAUGGUAGAACACGAGCUUCCCAAGCUCGCAGCGUGGGUCCGAUUCCCAUCGUCCGCUCCA